UUACCACGUUGCCAUCGUACACCACGAGACCACGUUCGCCAAUCCCCACUGAAAUCUCUACACGCUCGUCCUUUCUCGUGCCCUCCAUGGCGCAACCCUAGGUACCUCGAUCCACACCGCCGCCUCUCAUCGCCUGGGGCCCAGCUCUGUCCGCCUCCCCCAAGUCCGUCGCCCCCCGCCCCCACCCCGUUUAUCACGCCGCCGCCGCCGCCGCCGUCUACAGUGAGAAGCAGGAUCUCGCGACGCCACCGACCAGGAUCUCGCCGCCGCCUCUUUCACUACUUCAGCGACGGCACAUCAAGGUCCAGCCGCCUUCGCCUCCUCCUCCAAGACCUCAGCGACGUUACAUCAAGGUCGAGCCGCCGCCUGCUUCCAGGAAUUCGCCGCGGCCUCCAGUACCCUCUUCAAUCCCUCCGCUUUGAAGGCCUGAUCAGUUGAGAUGUCGUUAACACGGACCUCAUCCACGGCCUCAUCCUCAGCCUCGAGUGGAACCGCUUCUCCUCCCAGCGAACAGAUUGGUGAAGAACAUAUCUUCAACAGAUCAGUGGUAUGCAGUCUAAUUCACAUGGACUUCACUUGUCAUUAACAACUCACUACAUGCAGGAGCAUCCUUAUUCACGUGUGGUACGAGUUAGUUUAUAUCCAAAUUGGGAUAUAUUGAUGUGUACAGAUAUAUACCAAUUCAGUCACAAUCUCUUGUUAAAAUAGGGGUAUAAUUGGAAAUGUUGCAAUAACUACACGCUUGAUUUCAUUGGAGUAUGAACAAUGUGCUCAUUUCAACGGUACCAAGGGGACAGAAUCAAGCAAGUUUCAACACUACGAGGGGGUGUCCAACCUAGAAAAUUUCUGGUAUUUGACAGCCCACCUGGUACCGAGACCAGCAACUUAUUGAAUCGCCGGUCCCAUCUGAUACUUAAGAGGAGGAAGUACAAACUGGAAGGAAGUAACUUAGUACUGGAGUGAUGUGGCACUCUUGGUAAUGGACCAGCAACGACUUUGCUGGGUUGGAAAGCUGGGGAGAUCCCACCCCUAGACCAUCGCCCUUUACUCUGAAGGAGCUGGGUGAUGCCUGGGUUGCUGCUGCAAAGCGCCAGCUCAUUCACAGGCCCAAGUCGCCGACUCGUGUGGAGCGGCUAAGGCGCCUGCGAGAGCAUGAUCGGAAGAGUUUGAUGAUAGCAUUGGGCGUCUAUGCUGAACAAAAUAACAUACAACCUGCUGACCUUGAAGUGAUAGAAGUGAAAGAAAGAAAUCUAAUCGAUGAGGAGGGAAAGGGUUAUGUGCAUUUCAACUUUCUUGUGAAAAUGCAACAUAACCCAUCUAGUUUGUUCUUUGCGGAGGUGCAUCCGGACUGUAGAGAGGGGGAGGAUGUGUAUCUUUGCACUCCUCUCGAAGCUAAUGACUCGGGUGACUGUUAUGGGUGCAAGGACCGUGCAAAGGAGCUUCUGCAUCCCAAUAGCGGUGGCUACUUGGGUGGGCAUAUGGAUAUUGUUUUUCCCUUCAUUUAUGUAAGUGGUGAAGAAAGUGAAGACGAGGCCUGAUUUCUCCUGGUUCGCAUAGUUUCUUGUGGACAUGAGUGUUAGUCGUAGCGUGACGUGCUAGUGGUCGCGUUUGACAAAAUGCGGUGGUGCUAGUUAGUGGUCGUAAGGAAGGAUGAAUCCUCCUCACAAGGCUUCAAUAUGCUUUUUUUCUCUUUGAUUUUGAACGCAGUUGUUCUACUCUGAGCGAGAGGGAGCUACACUUGGAAAAACUACUGUAGAGAGGAAGCUUUAUGAUAAUGUUUCAAUGCUUCCUGUACAUCUUGUUCGCAGAAUUUUUGUUUCAAUGCUUUAAUUUUUGGGAUA